AUUGAACGCUGGCGGCAGGCCUAACACAUGCAAGUCGAACGAGUGGCGGACGGGUGAGUAAUGUCUGGGAAACUGCCUGAUGGAGGGGGAUAACUACUGGAAACGGUAGCUAAUACCGCAUACCCUCGAAUGUGCCCAGAUGGGAUUAGCUAGUAGGUGGGGUAAAGGCUGACCUAGGCGACGAUCCCUAGCUGGUCUGAGAGGAUGACCGGCCACACUGGAACUGAGACACGGUCCAUACUCCUACGGGAGGCAGCAGUGGGGAAUAUUGCACAAUGGGCGAAAGCCUGAUCCAGCAAUGCCGCGUGUAUGAAGAAGGCCUUCGGGUUGUAAAGUACUUUCAGCAGGGAGGCGUUACCCGCAGAAGAAGCACCGGCUAACUCCGUGCCAGCCGCCGCGGUAAUUC
rnacentral:rRNA from 1 species